GACGAACCGUGCGAACGUUAUUCGGAAUCACUGGGCUUAAAGGGCGCGUAGGCGGGCCGCAUAGUCAGGGGUGAAAGCCUCCAGCUCAACUGGAGAAGUGCCUCUGAUACUGGCGGCCUCGAGGGGUGCAGGGGCGUGCGGAACUUAGGGUGGAGCGGUGAAAUGCGUAGAUAUCGGAAGGAACGCCGGUGGCGAAAGCGACGGACUGGACAUCUUCUGACGCUGAGGCGCGAAAGCGUGGGGAGCAAACAGG
rnacentral:rRNA from 1 species